rnacentral:lncRNA from 1 species
AUACCCUUUUUGUGUGAGUGUGGUAGGAGUCAAAUCCUUCAGGGAAAUGUGCAGCGUUUUCGUUAUUUCUGUUUUAUCACGACUGGGCCCCGGACAGCAAGUUAUGGAGGCACUCUACUCCCACACCAAGCUGGCUGCUCUGAGGAAAGGAGGCAUCUUCACUAAGGAGAUGCUCAGCUCCCAGUGCCCUGAGGAAGAGAAGCUGUCUGUGUGUGAAGGCCCCACAGCUGACAGGAAGAGUCACCAGAUUGUUAUUCAGCCGCAGGAUGUCCUGGCCUCCUAAGACCUUGCCCCUGUCCCCACAGCUUGCCGCCAAGGAGCCUUUAACUGCCAAGGACACAGAGACAGUAAUUCUCUAAUCUGGUCUUCCACAGAAUGUAGCAGAGUAUUGAAUGAGGCAUUCUCUCUACAUUUCACCACAGGAGCCACAAUAGCUAUGGAGGGAAGCCAGCUGCAAGGACUAUACUAAGGCCACCAUGCUGUGAGGAAACUCAUCCACAUGGAAUUCUUGCAGAAAAGAAUCGAGGAACAUUACCAACCGCAAGAAUUGAGGCCCCAGAUAUAUGACUCUAGUUGAGGCUGCCAGUCAACCAUCAGUCACUGAAACCAUUCCAGCUCUGGCCCAAGUCAUCAUGGAGCAGAGACAAGCCAUUAACUCUGUACCGUGUCCAAAUUCUUGGCUCACAGAAUCAUGAGCAUAUAAGAUGGUUAAUGUCUUAAGCCAUUAAAUUUAGGGGUAGUUUGUACACAAUAGAUAACUGAAAUACUAGCUAUGUUACCUUGGGCAAAUCAUUAACUCUUUGAGAUUUGAUAUUCCUAUCUAUAAAAAUAGGGAUGGUAAU